GUCCUUGUGGCACCUCAGAGACUAACAAAUUAUUUGGGCAUAAGCAUUUGUGGGCCUAGAACCCAUUUCAUACAGCUGCAAGGAGAGGAAAAU